rnacentral:rRNA from 1 species
UGCCAGCCGCCGCGGUAAUACGUAGGGUGCAAGCGUUGUCCGGAAUUACUGGGCGUAAAGCGCACGUAGGCGGACUUUUAAGUCAGAUGUGAAAUCCCAAGGCUCAACCUUGGAACUGCGCUUCGAACCCCCAAGCUCGAGGAAGAUAGGGGUGAUGGGAACUUAUGGUGGAGCGGUGAAAUGCGUUGAUAUCAUAGGGAACACCGGUGGCGAAAGCGCAUCACUGGAUCUUUUCUGACGCUGAGGCACGAAAGCUAGGGUAGCAAACGGGAUUAGAUA